rnacentral:lncRNA from 1 species
UUCAAACAAUUAUCAUUUAAAUUUUUAUAUAUGUUUCCAAACAAUAACAAAAGAUACUUCAGUUUUAAUAAUAUAGAUGAGUCUAUGCGGAAGAGUGACACAAGAACAAUUCUCAUUCGAUGUAGAAAAAGUUCAAUGUAUUGGGGAAACGGGAAAAUUCCAUUAGGUUUAUAGAACUACAGCCGUUACAAAAUACGAACCAACGAUCGACAAAGGUGUAUAACACAUUUUAGCAGAAGUAACAUAUAAGUAAAUAACUUAACAAGAAAGUAGAUAUAUAGAUAU